AUUUCUUUCCUAUAUAACUUUUUAAUUAAAACUUAAGAAACAGGUUAACUGGAGAAUAAAGUUUUAAUUUAGUAAAAUUAUAAUUUCGAUUAUAAUAACGGCUAUUUAAAUGAUCCAUGAAACGAUAAGUUUAUUUUUUCAAAAAUUAAUUUAAUCGUACCGAUAACCGCAUCAGGUCUCCAAGGUGAGUAGCUUCUGGCCAUUGAGUAAUGGUAAUUUAGGGAAUUCGGCCAAUUAGAGCUGUAACUUCGGGAUAAAGCUUGGCUCUGAUGGAAAUCAGAACCGAUAGUUACAAGGAGAGCCCAACUGUUUAAUAAAAACUUAGUGUCGCGUCAUACCUUUAUAAGUAAUAAACGUGACAUGAAUCCUGCUCAGUGCUGUGUUUGUUAAACUGGAUUAAUCCAUUUAAGCGCCGGUAAAUAGCUGGGGUAACUAUGACUCUUAUCAAAGUAGCGAAAUACCUCGUCACUUAAUUAGUGACCUGCAUGAACGGAGCUAUGAGGUUCUCACUGUCCCAAAUUAUCACUCAGCGAACCAACAGUUGUGGGAACGGGCACAAAUUAUCCAGCGGGGAAAGAAGACCCUGUAGAGCUUCACUUUGGUCUAAUCUUGUAUAGUUUCGUUAGGGGUGCAGUCUAGGUGGGAGAUUUUUAAUCAAAUAUGAGAAACCACUACCCUUUCUGGAAUUAUACUUACUAAAAUUCUUUUCUAAAUUUUAGGAUCGGAUUAGAUAGAAAGUUUGGCUGGGGCGGCACACCUUCGAAAAAGCAGCGAAGGUGUCCUAAGUUAAGCUCAGUAAGGACAGAAAUCUUACGUUGAGGAUAAGGCCAAAAGCUUAAUUUACUGUGCCUUUUUGUACUAGGAUCAGUUUGGAAACAAAGGCCUAACGAUCCCUAAUUAGUCUUAGGUGUGUAAGACUUGGGGUGACAGACAAGUUACCUCCGGGACAACUGGCUUGUGGCUGCUAAGAGAUCAAAUCAACGCAGCUUUUUGAUUCUUCGAUGUCGGCUCUUCCUAUCCUAGUGAUGUACAAGUCACUAAGGGUUGGAUUGUUCACCCGUAUUAGGGAUCGUGAGCUGGGUUUAGACCGUCGUGAGCCAGGUUUGUUUUAUCCUACUGGAUAUAAUUUAGCAUCUUGAUAGUAGUUUGAUUUAGUACGAGAGGAACUGUUGAAUAUGGUCUCUGGUUUGGGAAUUUUAUGAAAAUAAAAGUUCCAAAGCUACGCCGUCUGAGAUAAUGGCUGAAGGCCUCUUAAGCCAGAAACUCAUCUAAAAAUAGAUGCUUUAAACUAUUUAAAAGAAUUAAAUUUAAAAUAUUUUUUUU
rnacentral:rRNA from 1 species